CUUGCAGGGUACUCGAGUGGCGAACGGGUGAGUAACACGUGGGUGAUCUGCCCUGCACUUCGGGAUAAGCUUGGGAAACUGGGUCUAAUACCGGAUAGGAACCAUCUUUAGUGUGGUGGUUGGAAAGUUUUUUCGGUGUAGGAUGAGCUCGCGGCCUAUCAGCUUGUUGGUGGGGUAAUGGCCUACCAAGGCGGCGACGGGUAGCCGGCCUGAGAGGGUGACCGGCCACAUUGGGACUGAGAUACGGCCCAG
rnacentral:rRNA from 1 species